rnacentral:rRNA from 1 species
AGCGAACGCUGGCGGCAGGCCUAACACAUGCAAGUCGAACGAACUCUCCGGAGUUAGUGGCGGACGGGUGAGUAACACGUGGGAACGUGCCUUUUGGUUCGGAAUAACUCAGGGAAACUUGUGCUAAUACCGAAUGUGCCCUUCGGGGGAAAGAUUUAUCGCCAUUAGAGCGGCCCGCGUCUGAUUAGCUAGUUGGUGAGGUAACGGCUCACCAAGGCGACGAUCAGUAGCUGGUCUGAGAGGAUGACCAGCCACACUGGGACUGAGACACGGCCCAGACUCCUACGGGAAGCAGCAGUGGGGAAUCUUGCGCAAUGGGCGAAAGCCUGACGCAGCCAUGCCGCGUGAAUGAUGAAGGUCUUAGGAUUGUAAAAUUCUUUCACCGGGGACGAUAAUGACGGUACCCGGAGAAGAAGCCCCGGCUAACUUCGUG